GCAAAAUAUGAGCAAAGCUUAGGCUUUUGAGGCGAUUCCAAAGGGGAAAAGGACCGUAGCUUUCGUCGUCGUUGUUUGUUGUUUGGAGGAGAUUCUAGCGAACGGCGCCGCCGUAGCAAAAGCGAAGGAAUAAAGAGAUACAGCCGAGGAAGCGGCGACGAGAGUGAUGGUUUUAAUUGGAGUAUGAAUUUUAACAGAUUUUUAAGGGCAUUUUAACAAUGGCCCGAAUAAAAUAAAUAUUCAAAAAAAUAAAUUAAGAAAAUUCUAGAAUCUCAUAAUUAUCACCGCUACUUUGCCCAAGCAGAGAAUUCUAAUGCCCGUCUUGUCUAUCAAUCUGCCAUUUCUUCUUUAUGACGGUUCCAUAUUUUCAAGGAAAGCAUUUAUCACCUAAACCAUUGAUCUACCCGUUCCAAACUUUCCUUUCUUCCUCUUCUACUCCGCCCAUUUUCAGUCUGGUUCUUGCACUCUAUCAUAUUCUUUCUGGUUUCAGGGACGUUUCCUAACAGGAGAUCAAUAGGCUGGGGGGCUGUUAAUCGGCAAUCUAGUAGUGUGAAAUCAUCGCUGUUCGUUCGAAGGUUCUGGUGGUCUUGGGAUUGCGUUUGCUGCAAAAACGUACCAGGUGUGUACUCGAAACGCGAAAAAUUCAGUUUCGGCAAAGGUUAAAAAUGGCCACUAUCGACGCCACACGGGCAUGUGGCCGGCCAUGUAGAUGGCUGUGUGCGAGAGACGACCGUGUGAUCGAUGAAGGCAUGGUCGUGCGCAGCACACGGCCGUGUGGUGGCUCGAGUGUGGCCGUGUGGGCCACACGGGAAAGGCCAAGUUGGGCGUGUGGAUUUUGGGCUAGGACGUGUGGACCACACGAGCAGGACCAAUCUAGGCAUGUGGGCCACACGGGCGUGUGGGCCCAAACGAGUAUAUGGGCCCAUAAUUCUAUAAUUUUCCCUAGGGUCGCACGAUUCGCUCUGAUCGAUUGUGUGUAACACCCCUAACCCGUAUUCGUCGUCAGGCUAGGGUUUAGAGACAUUACCGGACAUGUCGGAACAUUUCACGAUCACUUUAGUAUCAAAAGUCAUACAUCGACUUAUCAUAGUCAAACAUCGACAUAAUUCAUUUUUAUAA